rnacentral:rRNA from 1 species
GACGAACGCUGGCGGCGUGCUUAACACAUGCAAGUCGUACGGUAAGGCCCUUUCGGGGGUACCCGAGUGGCGCACGGGGGGGUAAAACGUGAGUAACCUGCCCACAACUUUGGGAUAACGCUAGGAAACUGGUGCUAAUACUGGAUUUGUGCUCCUGCGCCAUGGUGGGGGUUGGAAAGCUCCGGCGGUUGUGGAUGGACUCGCGGCCUAUCAGCUUGUUGGUGGGGUAGUGGCCUACCAAGGCGGCGACGGGUAGCCGGCCUGAGAGGGUGACCGGCCACAUUGGGACUGAGAUACGGCCCAGACUCCUACGGGAGGCAGCAGUGGGGAAUAUUGCACAAUGGGCGCAAGCCUGAUGCAGCAACGCCGCGUGCGGGAUGACGGCCUUCGGGUUGUAAACCGCUUUCAGCAGGGACGAAGCUUUUUGUGACGGUACCUGCAGAAGAAGCACCGGCUAACUACGUG